UACGUAGGAUGCAAGCGUUGUCCGGAAUUACUGGGCGUAAAGGGCUCGUAGGUGGCCAACUAAGUCAGACGUGAAAUCCCUCGGCUUAACCGGGGAACUGCGUCUGAUACUGGAUGGCUUGAGAUUGGGAGAGGGAUGCGGAAUUCCAGGUGUAGCGGUGAAAUGCGUAGAUAUCUGGAGGAACACCGGUGGCGAAGGCGGCAUCCUGGACCAACACUGACACUGAGGAGCGAAAGCCAGGGGAGCAAACGGG
rnacentral:rRNA from 1 species